GUUUGAUCCUGGCUCAGAGCGAACGUUAGCGGCAGGCUUAACACAUGCAAGUCGAGCGACAAAGGGGCUUCGGCCCUGAGUAGAGCGGCGGACGGGUGCGUAACACGUGGAUAAUCUGCCUCGUGGCGGGGGAUAACAGUCCGAAAGGACUGCUAAUACCGCAUGUCAGGUCGGAAACCCCGGUUUUCUGACGAAAAAGAGGGCGCCCGCAAGGGGCUCUCACCACGAGAUGAGUCCGCGGCCCAUCAGCUAGUUGGCGGUGUAAUAGACCACCAAGGCUAAGACGGGUAGCUGGUCUGAGAGGAUGACCAGCCACACUGGGACUGAGACACGGCCCAGACUCCUACGGAGGCAGCAGUGGGGAAUAUUGGACAAUGGGCGAAAGCCUGAUCCAGCCAUGCCGCGUGAGUGAUGAAGGUCUUCGGAUCGUAAAGCUCUGUGGAAGGGACGAAAAAGCCUAACCUAAUACGUUAAGGUCUUGACGGUACCUUCUUAGCAAGCACCGGCUAACUCCGUGCCAGCACG
rnacentral:rRNA from 1 species